rnacentral:rRNA from 1 species
UACGCAGGGUGCAAGCGUUAAUCGGAAUUACUGGGCGUAAAGCGUGCGCAGGCGGCUUUGCAAGACAGAUGUGAAAUCCCCGGGCUCAACCUGGGAACUGCAUUUGUGACUGCAUCGCUGGAGUGCGGCAGAGGGGGAUGGAAUUCCGCGUGUAGCAGUGAAAUGCGUAGAUAUGCGGAGGAACACCGAUGGCGAAGGCAAUCCCCUGGGCCUGCACUGACGCUCAUGCACGAAAGCGUGGGGAGCAAACAGG